AACGAACGCUGGCGGCAGGCUUAACACAUGCAAGUCGAACGCACCGCAAGGUGAGUGGCAGACGGGUGAGUAACACGUGGGGAUCUGCCCAAUGGUACGGAAUAGCUCCGGGAAACUGGAAUUAAUACCGUAUGAGCCCGCAAGGGGAAAGAUUUAUCGCCAUUGGAUGAACCCGCGUCGGAUUAGCUAGUUGGUGUGGUAAAGGCGCACCAAGGCGACGAUCCGUAGCUGGUCUGAGAGGAUGAUCAGCCACACUGGGACUGAGACACGGCCCAGACUCCUACGGGAGGCAGCAGUGGGGAAUAUUGGACAAUGGGCGCAAGCCUGAUCCAGCCAUGCCGCGUGAGUGAUGAAGGCCUUAGGAUUGUAAAAUUCUUUCACCGGGGACGAUAAUGACGGUACCCGGAGAAGAAGCCCCGGCUAACUUCGUGCCAGCCGCCGCGGUAAUAC
rnacentral:rRNA from 1 species